rnacentral:rRNA from 1 species
AGGACGAACGCUGGCGGCGUGCUUAACACAUGCAAGUCGAGCGGAAAGGCCCUUCGGGGUACUCGAGCGGCGAACGGGUGAGUAACACGUGAGCAACCUGCCCUUAGCUUCGGGAUAGCUCCGGGAAACCGGAAUUAAAUACCGAAUAUGACUGCGGCUGACAUCAGCCACGGUGGAAAGUUUUUCGGCUAGGGAUGGACUCGCGGCCUAUCAGCUAGUUGGUGGGGUAAUGGCCUACCAAGGCGACGACGGGUA